GCAGCCUGAACCUAAAGGAGGGAUUGAAGAAAAAAAAACAAGAACAGUUUAAAAACAGUAACUGGGCUGCCUCUGUUAAAAAAAAAAAACAGAAAUGCGAGCAGGGUGGUUAAUUCAGCCCAGUUGUCAGUUUCAAAGCUACAUGCCCUGGGCUACCAACCAAUUCUGUUUCUUGGACAGUUUGACCGUAAGGGCCGUAUAGUAGGGGAUGUGAUCACUCUGAUCGAACCAGCGGAAGGUGCUGCACGUGACAUCCUCAUGAAGAUGAGGAAGCUUUAUGAACACCUUCUGAGAAAAUUACAAGCUUCACCUCCUGCUAAAAGUUCUACACCAGCAGCUGGACCAUCCUCUGCUGACAGUGUCGAUGCUGGACCAGUCCCAGACCCAGAGGCUCUAAACGAGGAAUUUAUUCUUCAUUUAGAGCCUGUACCAACAUCUUCCCUCUGUCAGCCUCCUGCAUCCUCCUCUCCAUCUCUGCUUCCUCCUGCAUCCUCCU